rnacentral:rRNA from 1 species
UACGGGGGGGGCAAGCGUUGUUCGGAAUUACUGGGCGUAAAGGGCUCGUAGGCGGCCAACUAAGUCAGACGUGAAAUCCCCAGGCUCAACCUGGGAACUGCGUCUGAUACUGGAUGGCUUGAAUCCGGGAGAGGGAUGCAGAAUUCCAGGUGUAGCGGUGAAAUGCGUAGAUAUCUGGAGGAAUACCGGUGGCGAAGGCGCUGCUCUGGGCCGGUACUGACGCUGAGGAGCGAAAGCGUGGGUAGCAAACAGGA